CGAAAGUUAGAGGUCCGAAGACGAUCAGAUACCGUCCUAGUUCUAACCAUAAACGAUGCCAGCCAGCGAUCCGGCUGUGUUCCUCAAAAUGACACGCCGGGCAGCUUCCGGGAAACCAAAGCUUUUGGGUUCCGGGGGAAGUAUGGUUGCAAAGCUGAAACUUAAAGGAAUUGACGGAGGGCUACCACCAGGAAUGGAGCUUGCGGUUCAAUUUGACUCAACGCAGCGAACUCUACCAGGCCAGGACACAGGAAGGAUUGACAGAUUAAGAGCUCUUUCUUGAUUUUGUGGGUAGUGGUGCAUGGCCGCUCUUGGUUAGUGUAGUGAUUUGUCUGGUUUAUUCUGAUAACUAACGAGGCUCUAGCCUACUAAAUAGACGCUCGGAUCAUUCCUAGUCCGGCGUUUCUUCUUAGAGGGACUGGCGGCGUUUAGCCGCACGAGGCAGAGCAAUAGCAGGUCUGUAACGCCCUUAGAUGUCCUGGGCCACACGCGUGCUACAUUGAAGGAAUCAUCGUGUGCUUUCCCUUUCCGACAGGAAUGGGUAACCCGUUGAACCUCCUUCGUGCUGGGGAUAGGGGAUUGAAACUAUCCCCCUUGAACGAGGAAUUCCUAGUAAGCGUGAGUCAUCAUCUCGCGUUGAUUAGGUCCCUGGCCCUUGUACACACCGCCCGUCGCUAUUACCGAUUGAAUGUCUUAGUGAGGACUUCGGAUUGGCUGUCGAUUUGGCUUCAGGGUCGAGCCGACGUGCCGAAAAGAUGUCCGAACUUGGUCAUUUAGAGGAAAUAAAAGUCGUAACAAGG
rnacentral:rRNA from 1 species